rnacentral:misc_RNA from 1 species
GGAUGAAGAACGCAGUGAAAUGCGAUAAGUAAUGUGAAUUGCAGAAUUCCGUGAAUCAUCGAAUCUUUGAACGCACAUUGCGCCCCCUGGUAUUCCGGGGGGCAUGCCUGUCCGAGCGUCAUUGCAACCUUCAAGCGCGGCUUGUGUGUUGGGUCUCGUCCCCCGUGGACGGGCCCGAAAGGCAGUGGCGGCGUCCCGACAUGGUGCCCGAGCGUAUGGGAAUCCUCUUCCGCUCGAAUCGGCCCAUGCGGCGCUGGUCGUAACCAAAUUUUUUACCGGUUGACCUCGGAUCAGGUAGGGAUACCCGCUGAACUUAAGCAUAUCAAUAAGCGGAGGA